CUGCUGACCUCAGUCUCCUCUGUCCUCAAGUCGCCUACAUGCGCGCCCGGGAGCUGCACACUCUUGAAGUGACCGGCCUGGAGACGGUUGCCCAGAGCAAGGUAAAGAUAAUGAUGUAUCCCUGAUCAUCCUUACCCCAGCCACUACUUGCCUUUCCUCCUGUGGCUUCCCCAGACAACACUCUUGACUCUCCCUUUCCUUUGAAGGCCCAUGUAGCAUCCCUGGAGGGCCUCAUCUCUGAAGAUAAGGUCGUGCUUCUGGCAGGUUCUCCCUUACAGAAUGAAGCCACCCUGGGUCAGUGUGGGGUGGAAGCCCUGACGACCCUGGAAGUGGUUGGCCGCAGGCUAGGAGAUGGUGAGUUUAUAAAAGACUGUCUAUUGAGUGCAGCGGAAAUCAUGUGUCCUGAACAGAAAGAAGCAUUUGCAGACAUAAGCCUAACCAGAAAUACUGUUGCUCAGAGAGUAAAAGAUAUGGCUGAGAAUUUACAGGAUAAGUUGUGAGAAAAAGUGAGAUCAUUUGUGACAUUUUCUAUUGCAGUUGAUGAGUGCACAUAUGUAAAUAAUACAAGUCAGUUAAUUAUGCUUAUCCAUGGUGUUGCUGAGAAUUUUGAUAUCACUGAAGAACUUUUAGACAUGGUACCUAUGGCAGAUCCAACCACUGAAAGUGACUUAUUUUUGUAUGUUGAAAAAAGUCGGCUGGGCACAGUGGCUCAUGCCGGUAAUCCCAGCAUUUUGGGAGGCC
rnacentral:lncRNA from 1 species